UACAGAGGUCUCAAGCGUUGUUCGGAUUCAUUGGGCGUAAAGGGUGCGUAGGCGGCGCGGUAAGUCGGGUGUGAAAUUUCGGAGCUUAACUCCGAAACUGCAUUCGAUACUGCGGUGCUUGAGGACUGGAGAGGAGACUGGAAUUCAUGGUGUAGCAGUGAAAUGCGUAGAGAUCAUGAGGAAGACCAGUGGCGAAGGCGGGUCUCUGGACAGUUCCUGACACUGAGACACGAAGGCCCAGGGGAGCAAAACAGG
rnacentral:rRNA from 1 species